GGUGAACGCUAGCGGCAGGCCUAACACAUGCAAGUCGAGGGGCAUCAGGGGUAGCAAUACCUGCUGGCGACCGGCGCACGGGUGAGUAACGCGUAUGCAACCUGCCCGCCACAGGGGGAUAGCCCGCCGAAAGGCGGAUUAAUACCCCAUCGCCCCGUUGUUCGGCAUCGGACGACGGGUAAAGGAGCAAUCCGGUGGCGGAUGGGCAUGCGUGCCAUUAGCUAGUUGGCGGGGUAACAGCCCACCAAGGCGACGAUGGCUAGGGGGUCUGAGAGGAUGGUCCCCCACACUGGUACUGAGACACGGACCAGACUCCUACGGGAGGCAGCAGUGAGGAAUAUUGGUCAAUGGGCGGAAGCCUGAACCAGCCAUGCCGCGUGCAGGAAGACGGCCCUACGGGUUGUAAACUGCUUUUCCGGGGGAAGAAUAAGGCCCACGUGUGGGCCGAUGCCGGUACCCCGGGAAUAAGGAUCGGCUAACUCCGUGCCAGCAGCCGCGGUAAUACGGAGGAUCCGAGCGUUAUCCGGAUUUACUGGGUUUAAAGGGUGCGUAGGCGGGCGCUUAAGUCAGCGGUGAAAUGCGGGGGCUCAACCUUCGAACGGCCGUUGAUACUGGGCGCCUUGGAUUCGGUCGAGGCGGGCGGAAUGCGACAUGUAGCGGUGAAAUGCUUAGAUAUGUCGCAGAACGCCGAUUGCGAAGGCAGCUCGCCGGGCCGAUAUUGACGCUGAGGCACGAAAGCGUGGGGAUCGAACAGGAUUAGAUACCCUGGUAGUCCACGCCCUAAACGAUGCGAACUGGACGUUGGGUGCAAUUGAGCAUUCAGUGUCGAAGCUAACGCGUUAAGUUCGCCGCCUGGGGAGUACGGUCGCAAGACUGAAACUCAAAGGAAUUGACGGGGGCCCGCACAAGCGGUGGAGUAUGUGGUUUAAUUCGAUGCAACGCGAAGAACCUUACCUGGCCUUGACAUGUCGAGAAGUCUGCAGAGAUGCGGAUGUGCCUUCGGGAACUCGAACACAGGUGCUGCAUGGCUGUCGUCAGCUCGUGUCGUGAGAUGUUGGGUUAAGUCCCGCAACGAGCGCAACCCCUGUCCUUAGUUGCCAGCACGUAAUGGUGGGAACUCUAAGGAGACUGCCGGUGACAAACCGGAGGAAGGUGGGGAUGACGUCAAGUCAUCAUGGCCCUUACGGCCAGGGCUACACACGUACUACAAUGGUGGGGACAGAGGGUCGCAAUACCGCGAGGUGGAGCCAAUCCCAGAAACCCCAUCUUAGUCCGGAUCGCAGUCUGCAACUCGACUGCGUGAAGUCGGAAUCGCUAGUAAUCGCGGAUCAGCAUUGCCGCGGUGAAUACGUUCCCGGGCCUUGUACACACCGCCCGUCACACCAUGGGAGUUUGUUGCACCAGAAGCAGGUAGCUUAACCGCAAGGGGGGCGCUUGCCACGGUGUGGCCGAUGACUGGGGUG
rnacentral:rRNA from 1 species